GCGGGUGUGGCGGAAUUGGCAGACGCGCUAGACUUAGGAUCUAGUACCAAGUGUGUGGGGGUUCAAGUCCCUUCACCCGCACCA
rnacentral:tRNA from 1 species